UACGGGGGGGGGCAAGCGUUGUUCGGAAUUACUGGGCGUAAAGGGCUCGUAGGCGGCCAACUAAGUCAGACGUGAAAUCCCUCGGCUUAACCGGGGAACUGCGUCUGAUACUGGAUGGCUUGAGUUUGGGAGAGGGAUGCGGAAUUCCAGGUGUAGCGGUGAAAUGCGUAGAUAUUAGGAAGAACACCGGUGGCGAAGGCGGCCCACUGGCUCGAUACUGACGCUGAGGUGCGAAAGCGUGGGGAGCAAACAGG
rnacentral:rRNA from 1 species